GUUAUAAAGAAACAAUAUUUGUUACUUUCCCCAAAUUCAUGUUACUUAAAUUUCUUGUAUUUGCUAAAUGCAAGCAGUAUUGAGAACUAGGAGGAUAUUGGAAUUGUUCAAUUAAAAUACCAGGAACUAAGAUUCAAAAGUAUUUCAACUUCAACCAAUGAAAUGUUGCAUGAGCAACAAAUGUAUCAUAUUAAGAUAAGUCGUUAUUCAUUUUAGAUAACCUUUACCUGGUAUUUGACGUGAAUUUAUUGUCGUAUUUGAGUAUUUGGGUAGUAUAGUUAGAGCCUUAGAGGGGAGGAAGUAUGUGUUCAACUCAAAAGAUAAUAAUUAUUAGGAUUUUUUUUUAAUAGAUACCGUAAGAUCAAUUAUUCUAUUGUCUAGCUAAAAAGCCAAAAAAAGACGUUAAUGGAUAAUUCUAAUUAUGCUUCUUUAAUGCUUCUGUGAAUAGUAACUGGUGUUGUAUCUUGGUGGCAGAGGACAUGGUGAUAACAUGUUCAACAUGUGAUCAAGACGCUCUGGUCCAGGGUUGAGGUAGCCCACAAGUCCCACAUCAGCUCUUCUCCCACAUUAUGGCUUGAGCCUGAAGUCUCCAAUUGGAAAGCUAGAAGAUGGAAAGAGUCACUGUUAUUGUCAGCCUCUUCCUCCAGGUUCUCCUACGAGCCCUUCUGCCUUGCCCAACACAAGAACAAAGGGAGGGUGACGUUGGGGCUUGUAUACCUUGGAUUUAAGAUAGGCCUAAUUUUAUUAUGGUAACUGCAUACAUGUGCCAGAUGGUAUGGUGCGUUUAGUAUGGCUACAGGGUAAAAAGCCAAGGUGUUAUUACAAAUGUUAAAAAAUAAAAUAAAAUAUAAAUGAAACCAUGUCUCCAGAUAAAGAAAAGAAGAUUGAUGAACAGCUGCUUUGCAAUCAGUAUUAGACACAUGAAGUGUACCCGGUGUGAGUGGCCCACAUGAUGGACAUGAAAAUAAACUCAGCAGCAAUGUGAUGAAGUAAAAACUCAAGAAUAGUGUAGCAAGAGUAGCAUUUUUUCUAUUUUGUUAAUUUGCUAAUUGUUAUAUUUGCAUCUAUAACAGCGGAAGUGAGCAAAUGUGUGCAAUUAAAGAAGUCAGAGUUGUUUCUGAUGAUCAGAUAUCAAAGCAACUGAAACCGGUAUUUUUCUCAUCAGUAUAUAAGUUUUUAGCUGAAUCUAGAUAGACAGUAAUAUAGAUAAUUGAGACAAAGAGGGAAGUGAAGGACUUUUCACGUUCAAAUCUAUAUAAUAUUGGAUCCCUCAUUCAUAAUAAUUCCAGAUUAUCAUAUUCUUAGGGUGAGGAAACAAUCUCAGUUUAUUUGGAACAUGUCUCUGGUGGCUCAAUCCAUAAACUACUUCAAGAA